UACGGAGGGGGCAAGCGUUGUUCGGAAUUACUGGGCGUAAAGGGCGCGUAGGCGGCUUGGCAAGUUGGGCGUGAAAGCCCUGGGCUUAACCCAGGAAUUGCGCUUGAGACUGCCAGGCUUGAGUGCGGGAGAGGUGAGUGGAAUUCCCAGUGUAGAGGUGAAAUUCGUAGAUAUUGGGAAGAACACCAGUGGCGAAGGCGGCUCACUGGCCCGCAACUGACGCUGAGGCGCGAAAGCGUGGGGAGCAAACAGG
rnacentral:rRNA from 1 species